rnacentral:rRNA from 1 species
GCGAGGUGGAGCGAACCCCUAAAAGCCGUCCCAGUUCAGAUCGCAGUCUGCAACCCGACUGCGUGAAGUCGGAAUCGCUAGUAAUCGCGGAUCAGCAUGCCGCGGUGAAUACGUUCCCGGGUCUUGUACACACCGCCCGUCACACCAUGGGAGUCGGAAAUGCCCGAAGUCUGUGACCUAACCGUAAGGAAGGAGCAGCCGAAGGCAGGUCGGAUGACUGGGGUGAAGUCGUAACAAGGUACC